rnacentral:rRNA from 1 species
UACGUAGGGGGCAAGCGUUGUCCGGAGUUAUUGGGCGUAAAGCGCGCGCAGGCGGUCCACAACGGUCGCAAGUGACAGUUCCCAGCUUACCUGGGAAAGGCCUUAGCGAGACCGGUGGACUUGAGGGACUCAGAGGGAGACGGAAUUCCAGGUGGAGCGGUGAAAUGCGUAGAGAUCUGGAGGAACACCAAUGGCGUAGGCAGUCUCCUGGGAGUCUCCUGACGCUCAGGCGCGAAAGCCAGGGGAGCGAACGGG